rnacentral:lncRNA from 12 species
AUGAACUUACAUGUCCUGUGUCCCGUGCAGAGCCCUGACUUAGAGGGGGUGCGGGUGUCGGCUAGCAGGUGCUCCAAGAAGACGUCUCCGAACACACGGGUGGUCUCCGAUGCCACAGGAAAGGAGCAGAGCCCGUGGCAUGGACGUAUCGACCCCGAGAACCUCCAUCCGUCCCCACGGAUCCCUCCAUUUCGGACUUGCGACUGCCAGCGCUCCGAGACAAUAAAUAUCCGCUGUCUUGAGACCAUCCUCCGACCCCCAGCGCCGGUGUAUGGUCCUGAGAAACAGACGCAAGAGACAAGCGGACAAGGACAUCCCGUCUGCGCCCACCUGUUUCCUCCCAUCACAGAUGCUUCUGUGCAGGGUCAACGGGGAGGAUGGAGCGGGUGGCCUGGGUGGAGAAAGCUCCCGGGUGCCGUUCCCGCUGGCUCGGCUGCGCGGUUGGCUCCUUCAGCAGCCAUCCUGCAGCAUCCAUCACGUCUCUUCGUCACGACGACACAAUUUGCAAUCGGGGUGCAAAAGCCACCUGUUAUUUAUUGCAAGGAGGUCUGGGUGCUGGGGGAUUUGCAAAGAGCGGGUGUGGCGCGCACAGAUCGAGAGCGUGGGUGCUCGUGUCCGACCCCCCUGCGCUUGUGGGCGGGACCUGAGACGAUUCUGCUUCUCAUCCACACAAUACGGCGGCCGGGAUGGGAACCCACUGCCACGCGGGGCACAGGUGCCUCCCCGUGGGGCCUGUUCUGUGUCCUUCAGCAACGCCAGUCGAAUUUCAAUAUCCGUGGACUAGAGUGUGAGAGGAGCACGGCCACACCCGUUCCUUUCUGUGCUGGGCCCCAGGGCUGGUUUGGUGAGUCAUUGCAACAGAUGGCCUGGCUGUCCCCUUGCACGUGUGGCCCCCCUCCUGCCCCCUGGCCUGGGGGGGAGGGACGAAGGGCACAGUCUUUCCAAGGAACAGAAGCAGACGCUCGGACGAGCUCACCCUUUUGCAAACCAGGCCACCUACUUGCACUUGUAACAAUUGCCCGCCUGUGA